GACGAACGCUGGCGGCGUGCUUAACACAUGCAAGUCGAACGGAAAGGCCCUACUUUUGUGUGUUUCUCGUUUGGCGAACGGGUGAGUAACACGUGAGUAACCUGCCCUUGUCUUUGUGAUAACUUCUGGAAACUCGGGCUCUUACCGGAUAUGAUCUCCUGCUGCAUGGUGUUGGUUGGAAAGUUUCGGCGGUUGGGGAUGGAUUGGCGGGUUAUCAGCUUGUUUGUCGGGUAGGUGUUUACCAAGGCUGUGACGGGUAGCCUGCAUGAGAGGGUUACCGGCGACCAUGGGACUGAGGUACGCAGCAGACUCCUACGGGCGGCAGCAGUGGAGAAUAUUACACAGUGGGCGGAAGCCUGAGGCAGAAGCGCCGCGUGCGGGAAGCCGGGCUUCGGGUUGUAAACCGCUGUCGCAUGUGACGAAGAGAGAGUGACGGUAACGGGUAAAGAAGCACCGGCUAACUACGUG
rnacentral:rRNA from 1 species